rnacentral:tRNA from 1 species
CGGGUUAGAGCCAGGUAGGUUAGGCAUCUCAUUUGGGUUGAGAACUUGCUAUGUUCGAAUCGUAGUGACCCGA